rnacentral:rRNA from 1 species
AUUGAACGCUGGCGGCAUGCUUUACACAUGCAAGUCGAACGGUAACAGGCCGCAAGGUGCUGACGAGUGGCGAACGGGUGAGUAAUGCAUCGGAACGUGCCCAGUCGUGGGGGAUAACGCAGCGAAAGCUGCGCUAAUACCGCAUACGAUCUCUGGAUGAAAGCGGGGGACCGAAAGGCCUCGCGCGAUUGGAGCGGCCGAUGUCAGAUUAGGUAGUUGGUGGGGUAAAGGCCCACCAAGCCAACGAUCUGUAGCUGGUCUGAGAGGACGACCAGCCACACUGGGCCUGAGACACGGCCCAGACUCCUACGGAGGCAGCAGUGGGGAAUUUUGGACAAUGGGCGCAAGCCUGAUCCAGCAAUGCCGCGUGCAGGAAGAAGGCCUUCGGGUUGUAAACUGCUUUUGUACGGAACGAAACGGUCCUGGUUAAUACCUGGGGCUAAUGACGGUACCGUAAGAAUAAGCACCGGCUAACUACGUGCCAGCCGCCGCCGUAAAAC